rnacentral:rRNA from 1 species
UACGGAGGGUGCAAGCGUUGUCCGGAUUUAUUGGGUUUAAAGGGUGCGUAGGCGGAUAUGUAAGUCCGUGGUGAAAAUCUCUGGGCUUAACCCGGAAACUGCCAUGGAUACUAUGUGUCUUAAUGUUGUUGAGGUGAGCGGAAUAUGUCAUGUAGCGGUGAAAUGCUUAGAUAUGACAUAGAACACCAAUUGCGAAGGCAGCUCACUAAAGCAAAUAUUGACGC